GAUGAACGCUGGCGGCGUGCCUAAUACAUGCAAGUCGAGCGAACAGACGAGGAGCUUGCUCCUCUGACGUUAGCGGCGGACGGGUGAGUAACACGUGGAUAACCUACCUAUAAGACUGGGAUAACUUCGGGAAGCCGGAGCUAAUACCGGAUAAUAUAUUGAACCGCAUGGUUCAAUAGUGAAAGACGGUUUUGCUGUCACUUAUAGAUGGAUCCGCGCCGCAUUAGCUAGUUGGUAAGGUAACGGCUUACCAAGGCGACGAUGCGUAGCCGACCUGAGAGGGUGAUCGGCCACACUGGAACUGAGCCACGGUCCAGACUCCUACGGGAGGCAGCAGUAGGGAAUCUUCCGCAAUGGGCGAAAGCCUGACGGAGCAACGCCGCGUGAGUGAUGAAGGUCUUCGGAUCGUAAAACUCUGUUAUUAGGGAAGAACAAAUGUGUAAGUAACUAUGCACGUCUUGACGGUACCUAAUCAGAAAGCCACGGCUAACUACGUG
rnacentral:rRNA from 1 species